CACUGUCACGCAGACGUAGGCAGGGUAGGUGGCACCGUGGAAGCACUGUCACGCAGACGUAGGCAGGGUAGGUGGCACCGUGGAAGCACUGUCACGCAGACGUAGGCAGGGUAGGUGGCACCGUGGAAGCACUGUCACGCAGACGUAGGCAGGGUAGGUGGCACCGUGGAAGCACUGUCACGCAGACGUAGGCAGGGUAGGUGGCACCGUGGAAGCACUGUCACGCAGACGUAGGCAGGGUAGGUGGCACCGUGGAAGCACUGUCACGCAGACGUAGGCAGGGUAGGUGGCACCGUGGAAGCACUGUCACGCAGACGUAGGCAGGGUAGAUGGCACCGUGGAAGCACUGUCACGCAGACGUAGGCAGGGUAGGUGGCACCGUGGAAGCACUGUCACGCAGACGUAGGCAGGGUAGGUGGCACCGUGGAAGCACUGUCACGCAGACGUAGGCAGGGUAGGUGGCACCGUGGAAGCACUGUCACGCAGACGUAGGCAGGGUAGGUGGCACCGUGGAAGCACUGUCACGCAGACGUAGGCAGGGUAGGUGGCACCGUGGAAGCACUGUCACGCAGACGUAGGCAGGGUAGGUGGCACCGUGGAAGCACUGUCACGCAGACGUAGGCAGGGUAUGUGGCACCGUGGAAGCACUGUCACCCAGACGUAGGCAGGGUAGAUGGCACUGUGGAAGCACUGUCACACAGACGUAGGCAGUGUAGAUGGCACCGUGGAAGCACUGUCACGCAGACGUAGGCAGGGUAGGUGGCACCGUGGAAGCACUGUCACCCAGACGUAGGCAGUGUAGAUGGCACCGUGGAAGCACUGUCACGCAGACGUA